rnacentral:tRNA from 1 species
GCAUCACUCCGCGGCACGUCGCUGCGCUGACUCUUAAUCAGCGGGUUCGGGGUUCGAGUCCCUGAUGGCGCACCA